rnacentral:rRNA from 1 species
AUGGAGAAACAAGUUUCACACAAGAACCAGAGAAUGAAACGAAUAGCCAGGCUAGUAUAUUAUGUGCUGCGAAUCAUGAUCACAAGGAUGGAUGCAAUAAUUGUCCUAUCAAAGUCAUUUGGAUUAGCACAGGAAGAAAUCCAACCAAGGUGUACACCUUUUGUUCUGCUACUGCUGAGUGAAAAUGUGCUGUGUGUGUUCUUCCAUCUUUGUCAUAUGUCGAAUUCCGUCCUGGAACCAUUGUUGGAAAUGUCAUGUAUUGGGUAA